AUUAAAUAUUAGUUUGGGAAGAGUAGGUAAGUCGCUUUUUUAAGAGAGUGCAUGGUGCUGUGAAUGCAUAAAAGUCUUAUUGAAGGUAGCCCACUUGAACUUUAACUGAACUGAUUGAGUAAGUUAAAGCGUCUCAUGAGCGUUAAUCAUUAGAGUGCAAUAGUGUGAACUAUUGAAAAUAGGUGGUACCACGGAACAUCCGUCCUAUAU
rnacentral:ncRNA from 1 species